ACAAAUUUCUACCUUUUUUCGUGUCCACUCACACCACACCACACGUCCACUCUUUUUCGCUAUUACACCGGAAGUACAUAUAUAUAUUUUUCUAUAUUUAUGAAUCGUUAAAAAUCGUAUAAUACGUUUGCGCGAAUGAUGAUUAUAACUUUGGUACGUAAUGACGCGAAUAUAACAUGCUCGCGGAACAGUUUUCGCGGCCGUUUUGGGCCAAUAAAUGAAAUUAUCGGUAAUAUCAUCGAAAUUAGAAAAUGAGGGGCUUGCUGCUACAUGGGAACCACCCACAACCACCACCACCAGCAGUAACAGUAGCAGCAACAGUAGUAGGACGAGGACCGGUGGGGGAUGAUGAUAGCCGAAAAAUCGAGUGAAUCUCCGAGGUGGAACCAUCGGAGAUUAGAAAAAAUGAUGAUGGACGUGAGCAAAAAUGAGCCCAGUAGUAAAAACGGUGCGACUCAACAGGAAUGCGCUGGAUGUGGGAAAACAAUAACCGAAAGAUAUUUAUUAAAAGCGUUGGACCUGUACUGGCACGAAGAUUGUUUGAAGUGUGGUUGCUGCGAUUGCAGAUUGGGAGAAGUCGGUUCUACGCUUUACACAAAAGCCAAUCUAAUUCUUUGCAAAAGAGAUUAUCUGAGGCUUUUUGGGAACACCGGUUACUGUGCGGCAUGUAACAAAGUCAUACCGGCUUUCGAAAUGGUCAUGAGAGCAAGAACAAACGUUUAUCAUCUGGAAUGUUUUUCCUGUCAGGAAUGCGAUCACAAAUUUUGCGUGGGCGAUCAAUUUUAUCUCUACGAGAAUAAAAUUCUUUGCGAGUAUCAUUAUAAGGAAAGAGUUUAUUUCGCCAACAUGCCACAUCCGCCACCGAACGAUACCCUAGCACAUAUUAAAAGACAAGUCACGCACCUUCAACCUCAAGGAGGUCGAAGGUCGUGAAUAGGUAACACACACUGGAAUCAUACGCAUGCACGAAGUAACGAGGUCUCUGUAAGCCGAUGAUAUCAGCAGUCUCGACGGUAUCUGCCGGAGGUCCUCCGAGACAGGCGAAUGGGGAAACAGCCCAUAACCACAAUGGAUAUCCAGCACCGGCUACAUCCAGCGCUCACAACGUCCUCAACCCCAUGAAUAAUUUAAAUGGUAUCAAUGCGCAAGCACCGUACGAUGCCAAAUGACAAACGAAAUAAGCGCCGAUAUACACGCGUCUACCUACGCCUACUAUUAUUACUACUACUACCACUACUACUAUUUCUUAUACUACUACUACUAAUACUACUACUAUUAGUACUGCUGCAUACAAUUUAACACCUACAUUUCUUAACAUACGGAAAUAAUAAAACAUACAAAAUGACACGUACACGCACAAAAACG
rnacentral:misc_RNA from 1 species